CUGCAUCCGAAAUUCGUGUGUGUAACCUCUUCUCCAUCUGCCACACACAUCUCUACCUAGCACAGGCUGCUCUUCAUCUGCGUCUGAUGAUGACGACCAUGCGCCAUCAAGCCGAGGAUCAACCUCAGGCCAUGUUGUGUCAUCGGCGGCUGACUUGUCUUGACUGGUCAUUACAAACCAAGUUCAUUCUAUACAGCAAGAGGAGAAAGCAAAUUGUCAUCAUAACAGCGAAGUCUCCAUAACACAAGUAAGCUAUGUCAUCCGUCAUGGAAAAGUUGGAUAAACUGAAAAAAUGUGGUGACGGUGAAAUUCAGAAAAUGAGCAACAUACCCAAAAACGAAAAGUUCGAAGUGCUGGACAUUCAGAAAAAAGACACUAUGUAUGGCGAGGCAGUAUACGUGGAGCUCCGCAUGGAAAACGACAAGCCAGUGAAAGUGUAUCUACCUGGACGCUUCAAAAAAUUGUCGGAGGAAGAGCUAGAGGAAAUGCGACUGCUUCCAAAUCUCAAAAUGGAGAAGAAAGGACGGUUUACUCAAGAUGGUAAAAAAGUCAUUUCGCCAGAUAUUAUCUUCACCAAUUCGAAGAGAAAGUGAUGAGAUAUGGUGACAUGUAGAACCUUCUAUCACUCAAGUGACUGCUGAAAUAGCACAAAAUUUGGAAAACCUCGAAGUAGAAGGUUCAGGUUUUUUUCUCUUUCGCAUUCAUGCCUGUAUCAUGAACAUUGGACGUUUGAUGCCUCAAAUGAUUGGAUGUGCCUAGUUUGAGUUACCGCAAGAAUUGAAGCAUAAGUUUCGUUCUCUGUUGUGUGUGGACUUUGGUUUGCAUGAAGAUGAGCAGAACAUGUGUUUUGCCUUCUCUGUAAUAGCUGCACUGCAUCCUGCUACUGGUUAUCGCAGGCGUAGGGCAUCUUCAUACAGACCAUAUGUUUCUGAGUAUGUUUUUCCGAAAACAUUCCCGGUAGCUUUCCCAAAAGAGGUUGAAGCAUUCGAAAAAAAUAAUGGUAUCAGUAUCAAUGUGUACGCCUACGAAAGGGAAGACAAAUCUCUGUACCCCAUCAAGGUUGUCGAUGACGAGUGUGAGAAACAUGUGGAUCUGUUGCUAAUCGACUCUCAUUUUCUGCUUAUCACAAAUUUUAAUGGAUUAUUUCAACCUAGCGGACGGUUUCAUUGCAAGAGGUGUAUGAUGGGCUUC